rnacentral:rRNA from 1 species
GAUGAACGCUGGCGGCGUGCCUAAUACAUGCAAGUCGAGCGAACGGACGAGAAGCUUGCUUCUCUGAUGUUAGCGGCGGACGGGUGAGUAACACGUGGAUAACCUACCUAUAAGACUGGGAUAACUUCGGGAAACCGGAGCUAAUACCGGAUGAUAUUUUGAACCGCAUGGUUCAAAAGUGAAAGACGGUCUUGCUGUCACUUAUAGAUGGAUCCGCGCUGCAUAGCUAGUUGGUAAGGUAAUGGCUUACCAAGGCAACGAUGCAUAGCCGACCUGAGAGGGUGAUCGGCCACACUGGAACUGAGACACGGUCCAGACUCCUACGGGAGGCAGCAGUAGGGAAUCUUCCGCAAAGGGCGAAAGCCUGACGGAGCAACGCCGCGUGAGUGAUGAAGGUCUUCGGAUCGUAAAACUCUGUUAUUAGGGAAGAACAUAUGUGUAAGUAACUGUGCACAUCUUGACGGUACCUAAUCAGAAAGCCACGGCUAACUACGUG